rnacentral:rRNA from 1 species
GACAGAGGUGCCGAGCGUUAGGCGGAAUCACUGGGCUUAAAGCGUGUGUAGGCGGAUCCGUAAGUACCUUGUGAAAUCCCACGGCUCAACCGUGGAACUGCUUGGUAUACUGCGGGUCUUGAGCCACCUAGGGGCGAGCGGAACAAGUGGUGGAGCGGUGAAAUGCGUAGAUAUCACUUGGAACGCCAAUGGUGAAAACAGCUCGCUGGGGGUGUGCUGACGCUGAGACACGAAAGCCAGGGGAGCAAAACGGG